UUGAACAUGGGCACAGGGAACACUUUGAC
rnacentral:piRNA from 1 species